AUGCGCCCCACCAAGUGCCUCCAGGAGAUCGGCUCACUAGGACAGAGUGAGUUUAUCAAAGGAUGUAGCAUCCAAGACAACUUUCUAUUUGUCCAAGGCUUGGCUCACCACUUUCACCAGAAAAAACGUCCAAUGCUUUUUGUGAAGCUGGAUAUUGCCAAGGCAUUUGACAUGCUGGCUUGGCCCUACCUACUCAACAUGUUGCGGGCAAGGGGCUUCGGCCAGCGCUGGUGCGAAUUGAUCUUGAUGAUCCUUUCCUCGGCGUCCUCGCGAGUGAUCAUCAAUGGACACGUCGGCGAUCCAAUUCACCAUGCCAAGGGAGUACGUCAGGGUGACCCCAUCUCCCCUUUCCUGUUCAUCCUUGCCAUGGAGCCUCUACAACGCCUCAUUGACAAGGCGGUCGAAAACAACAUUCUCUCGCAUCUGCGAGGCAGAAUUUCACCAGUGCGCGCCUCCUUGUAUGCUGACGACGUGGCCCUCUUCAUCAACCCUGUGAAGGAGGAGAUGGCGACACUUAAGUCGAUUCUUUCUGCUUUUGGUGACGUGACGGGGCUACGGGUUAACUUCUCCAAGAGCUCUGUGAUCCCCAUCAGGUGCGAUGGGCUGGAUGUGUAG
rnacentral:rRNA from 1 species